rnacentral:rRNA from 1 species
GACGAACGCUGGCGGCGUGCCUAAUACAUGCAAGUCGAGCGGACAGAUGGGAGCUUGCUCCCUGAUGUUAGCGGCGGACGGGUGAGUAACACGUGGGUAACCUGCCUGUAAGACUGGGAUAACUCCGGGAAACCGGGGCUAAUACCGGAUGGUUGUUUGAACCGCAUGGUUCAAACAUAAAAGGUGGCUUCGGCUACCACUUACAGAUGGACCCGCGGCGCAUUAGCUAGUUGGUGAGGUAACGGCUCACCAAGGCAACGAUGCGUAGCCGACCUGAGAGGGUGAUCGGCCACACUGGGACUGAGACACGGCCCAGACUCCUACGGGAGGCAGCAGUAGGGAAUCUUCCGCAAUGGACGAAAGUCUGACGGAGCAACGCCGCGUGAGUGAUGAAGGUUUUCGGAUCGUAAAGCUCUGUUGUUAGGGAAGAACAAGUACCGUUCGAAUAGGGCGGUACCUUGACGGUACCUAACCAGAAAGCCACGGCUAACUACGUGCCAGCAGCCGCGGUAAUACGUAGGUGGCAAGCGUUGUCCGGAAUUAUUGGGCGUAAAGGGCUCGCAGGCGGUUUCUUAAGUCUGAUGUGAAAGCCCCCGGCUCAACCGGGGAGGGUCAUUGGAAACUGGGGAACUUGAGUGCAGAAGAGGAGAGUGGAAUUCCACGUGUAGCGGUGAAAUGCGUAGAGAUGUGGAGGAACACCAGUGGCGAAGGCGACUCUCUGGUCUGUAACUGACGCUGAGGAGCGAAAGCGUGGGGAGCGAACAGGAUUAGAUACCCUGGUAGUCCACGCCGUAAACGAUGAGUGCUAAGUGUUAGGGGGUUUCCGCCCCUUAGUGCUGCAGCUAACGCAUUAAGCACUCCGCCUGGGGAGUACGGUCGCAAGACUGAAACUCAAAGGAAUUGACGGGGGCCCGCACAAGCGGUGGAGCAUGUGGUUUAAUUCAAGCAACGCGAAGAACCUUGCCAGGUCUUGACAUCCUCUGACAAUCCUAGAGAUAGGACGUCCCCUUCGGGGGCAGAGUGACAGGUGGUGCAUGGUUGUCGUCAGCUCGUGUCGUGAGAUGUUGGGUUAAGUCCCGCAACGAGCGCAACCCUUGAUCUUAGUUGCCAGCAUUCAGUUGGGCACUCUAAGGUGACUGCCGGUGACAAACCGGAGGAAGGUGGGGAUGACGUCAAAUCAUCAUGCCCCUUAUGACCUGGGCUACACACGUGCUACAAUGGACAGAACAAAGGGCAGCGAAACCGCGAGGUUAAGCCAAUCCCACAAAUCUGUUCUCAGUUCGGAUCGCAGUCUGCAACUCGACUGCGUGAAGCUGGAAUCGCUAGUAAUCGCGGAUCAGCAUGCCGCGGUGAAUACGUUCCCGGGCCUUGUACACACCGCCCGUCACACCACGAGAGUUUGUAACACCCGAAGUCGGUGAGGUAACCUUUUAGGAGCCAGCCGCCGAAGGUGGGACAGAUGAUUGGGGUG